rnacentral:ribozyme from 1 species
UGCCCAGCAACUCUUAUCCCUACCUCCUCGCGGUACUGGCCGGGGUACGAGUAACCUUAGGGAAAAUCGGGUAACCAACCCCCGGUGGGAACUUUGGUCGUAUGCUGAGGGGGGG